rnacentral:lncRNA from 1 species
CUAACGUGUGUGUGCACAUACUGUAAAGCAAUUAUACUCCAGUUAAGUUGAAUUUUUGAAAACUUGAUUCUAUGCUAAUGUCACCGCAGAUGUUUGCUACUUAAGUGACCCUAACAAUAAAUGUUUUGGGGGAAAAAAAAAACCACAGCUCUACUCACAAACCUUUUCAGAGCAUAUUGUUAAAAUCGGGGGCAUCUACAGGGAGUGAUUUUUAAAGAGUCUGAAGUGUUUCCAUAGCAUUUCUAUAAUGGAAAUUGCCUUUUCAUGAAACCUCCAGAUACCAAGAUGAUAUUGCUUAAUGGCAUUAGCAUCCUGUGAACUCUGAGUUAUUGUCCAAGUAUCUCCUAUCUGACUCUGAUCCCUCUUCAUUAAACACUACCCUGCAAACACACACAGGGCCC